GUCUAUUUGGAGAUAUAAAUAGUCUGGCCUGCUCACUGAUCUAAUAGAUUUAAGAGCCGCGGUAUUUUGACCGUGCAAAGGUAGCAUAAUCAUUAGUUUUUUAAUUGGAAACUUGUAUGAAUGGUUGGACAAAGGAAAAGCUGUCUCUAUUAUAAAAAUUGAAAUUAACUUUUAAGUGAAAAGGCUUAAAUAUUUCAAGGGGACGAUAAGACCCUAUAAAGCUUUAUAAAUUGGUUAAGUUUUAUUAAUUUUAAUAAUAAAGAUUUAAUUUAAUUGUUUUAUUUUAUUGGGGCGAUAAAAAUAUAAAUUAUAUUAACUGUUUAAAAAUUAUACAAUAAUAAGUGAAUAUAAGAAAUUAAAAGAUCCUUUUUAAUGAUUUAAAGACUAAG
rnacentral:rRNA from 1 species